GGAGAAAUGACAGAAGGAUUAAUUGCACCCAUUUUAAAUAUGUUAACGGGGGUUCAAAUCCUCCUUUCUCCA
rnacentral:tRNA from 1 species